rnacentral:rRNA from 1 species
GUCCACGCCCUAAACGAUGUCAACUGGUUGUUGGGUCUUCAUUGACUUAGUAACGAAGCUAACGCGUGAAGUUGACCGCCUGGGGAGUACGGUCGCAAGAUUAAAACUCAAAUGAAUUGACGGGGACCCGCACAAGCGGUGGAUGAUGUGGAUUAAUUCUAUGCAACGCGAAAACCUUACCUACCCUUGACAUGCCACUAACGAAGUAUAGAUACAUUAGGUGCUCGUAAGAGAAAGUGGACACAGGUGCUGCAUGGCUGUCGU